GUGCCAGCCGCCGCGGUAAUACGGAGGGUGCAAGCGUUAUCCGGAUUCACUGGGUUUAAAGGGUGCGUAGGUGGGUUUGUAAGUCAGUGGUGAAAUCUCCAAGCUUAACUUGGAAACUGCCGUUGAUACUAUAAAUCUUGAAUGUUGUGGAGGUGAGCGGAAUAUGUCAUGUAGCGGUGAAAUGCUUAGAUAUGACAUAGAACACCAAUUGCGAAGGCAGCUCACUACACGAGCAUUGACUCUGAGGCACGAAAGCGUGGGGAUCAAACAGGAUUAGAUACCCUGGUAGUCC
rnacentral:rRNA from 1 species